UUUUGCUCCCACAUUUUGCUUCACGGUGAACGGAAUAUUCAGCCUUACAAGAGAUUUUUUUGUAUCUGCAGUUACAGCAAAGCACUAGGACUUCAGUAGUGGCGGCAACUCAGGACAACACAGAGCUUCUGCGAUGGAAAAAGAACUUCAACUGGCAAACAUAAUGAGAAUGAAGUGGCGAAUACUGUCUCUGAAAUUGAAUUCCAUUAAACAUUUCAGAAUGAUAUCUUUCACAUUUGCUGCUGUAAUGCUUGUUCUUCCAUCCUGCUCACCCAACUUUUCUUUUGAAGGAGGGGAUAUGUAAGUAACAAAAUAUGAUAGCUGUUUCAAAAAAAAAAUAAUUGACGACCUCAAAAUUAACAUUCUAAAUUUGGUAAUCUGCCCCUAAAUUCAUCUCUUC